rnacentral:tRNA from 1 species
GCCACUUUAGCUCAGUUGGUAGAGCACAGCUUUCGUAAAGCUGGGGUCACGAGUUCAAUCCUCGUAGGUGGCU